GAUGAACGCUGGCGGCGUGCCUAAUACAUGCAAGUCGAGCGAAAAGAUGAGACGGUUGCUCCUCUGACGUUAGCGGCGGGCGGGUGAGUAAAACGUGGAUAACACUCCUAUAUGACUGGGAUAAAUUCGGGAAACCGGUACCAAUUCCGGCUUAACUUUUGAACCCCAUGGUUCAAUAGUUUCAGACGUUUUUGCUGUCGCUUUUCGCUGGUGCCACUCCGCAUUAGCUAGUGGGUCAGGUAACGGCUUACCAAGGCAACGAUGCGUAGCCGACCUGAGAGGGUGACCGGCCACACUGGAACUGAGACACGGUCCAGACUCCUACGGGAGGCAGCAGUAGGGAAUAUUCCGCAAUGGGCGAAAGCCUGACGGAGCAACGCCGCGUGAGUGAUGAAGGUCUUCGGAUCGUAAAACUCUGUUAUUAGGGAAGAACAAAUGUGUAAGUAACUAUGCACGUCUUGACGGUACCUAAUCAGAAAGCCACGGCUAACUACGUG
rnacentral:rRNA from 1 species